GUGAGGAAUAUUGCGCAAUGGGCGAAAGCCUGACGCAGCAACGCCGCGUGGAUGAUGAAGCUCUAAGGAGUGUAAAGUCCUGUUAGGAGGGACGAAUGACCUCUAGUUGAAUAAGCUAUAGGUUUGACGGUACCUCCAGAGAAAGCCCCGGCUAACUCCGUGCCAGCAGCCGCGGUAAUACGGGGGGGGCAAGCGUUGUCCGGAAUCAUUGGGCGUAAAGGGCGCGUAGGCGGAAUGGUAAGUUAGAGGUGAAAACUACGGGCUUAACUUGUAGCCUGCCUUUAAAACUGUCAUUCUUGAGUAUGGAAGAGGGAAGUGGAAUUCCUGGUGUAGCGGUGAAAUGCGUAGAUAUCAGGAAGAACACCGGUAGCGAAGGCGACUUCCUGGUCCAUAACUGACGCUAAUGCGCGAAAGCGUGGGGAGCAAACAGGAUUAGAAACCCUUGUAGUCC
rnacentral:rRNA from 1 species